rnacentral:lncRNA from 10 species
CCCGAACGAGGCGACAAGGUCGGUCCUCCCCCGCCGGGCCUUCCCCGCGCUCCCCGGCGCCCCCAGCCCGCUGACCCCCGGCCAGGCAGGCCCGCGGGGGAGGCAGGACCGGAGCCCUGAGGCCCUGGCCGGCCUCGGGGUUGAGGCUCAGCUCGGGAUAAGUGAUCUUUGGGGCCCGCAGAGGACGUCUCCCCAAGACCCAGUGGCAACCGGGGCACCACUGAGUUCAGUACUUCAAAAUUGCCGUGCUCUACCUCUCCCCAGUGCACAAAAACACUCUCCACACCAAGCUGCUGCUGCUGGGGGAUGGAGGGAUGGCGUCAGCGAUUCAAGACUGUUUUUCCUACCUGUUCAGCACUUCUUUCAGCGAUAUGAAGUUAAAUCCAGGCCAAGUUCCCACCUGGUGGGAAGCACUGUGCAGGUUCGUGGGGAUGCAGCCCUGCACAGCCCAGACUGGACUCCUUCCCCAUGGAACUCACAACACACGGGAGAGGCAGAGAGAUCCAAGCGCACAGAAAAACACAAGAAGAUUCAGCCCUGUCAUCUUGUGCAAAGUGAGUUCCACAUAAUUCAAUUAUAAAAUGAGA